AACGAACGCUGGCGGCGUGCCUAACACAUGCAAGUCGAACGUGAUUGAAGAGCUUGCUCUUCAUGAAAGUGGCGCACGGGUGAGUAACGCGUAGAUAAUCUACCUGGUGAUUUGGGAUAACAGUUCGAAAGGACUGCUAAUACCGAAUAAGCCCACGGAGUCUUUGGAUUCUGCGGGAAAAGGGGGGGACCUUAUGGCCUUCCGUCAUCAGAUGAGUCUGCGUACCAUUAGCUAGUUGGUAGGGUAAAGGCCUACCAAGGCGACGAUGGUUAGCUGGUCUGAGAGGAAGAUCAGCCACACUGGAACUGGAACACGGUCCAGACUCCUACGGGAGGCAGCAGUGGGGAAUUUUGCGCAAUGGGGGAAACCCUGACGCAGCAACGCCGCGUGAGUGAUGAAGGCCCUUGGGUCGUAAAGCUCUGACAGAGGGAAAGAAAUGCAGGGGAGCUAAUAUCUCCUUUGCUUGACGGUACCCUCAAAGGAAGCACCGGCUAACUCCGUGCCAGCAGCCGCAGUAAAAC
rnacentral:rRNA from 1 species